CUGCAAAAUUACAUACAUUUUACUGCAUGCCCGAUCAUUACAAAAAGCAAUACAUUUUCCGUAUCUUAGGUGGACGUGAUUGAAGAAAUUGUGUUAUUAGAGUUGGACAAGUUGGGUUUAGACUUUUUGGCUUGUCUUUUUUUAGUGCAAGAACUUUUUAAGUUUUAUAUAUAAGUGUUUAGACUUCCACUUUUGCAUGGUAUUAUGAUUUGUGUGGAAGUUUCGACUCUAUGAAAUAUUUAUUCUAUAUGGUGCUUUGUUAAUUUCUUAACUUGGUAAUAGUACUAUUUGAUAUUAAACAUGAAAAAUAUAUAUUUGAUAUUNUUGUACAGAUAUUUUGUGUACCCUGUGUUGUAAAUGAGUUUUGGAUCCAGAUGUGGCAGUUUUAGUACUUUCUUUUGUACUUAUAUUUUGAGUUGGACUCUCUCGUUCUUUUGUUGAUAGUCUUUGUGACUUUUACUAUGCUCUGAUAUCAGGAUAGGAUUAUGUUAUGUUUUUACUCCUAUCGACUUAUUUUUUGUAGACGCCUUAUAUACUGCAGGUGUAUGGCGGGUCUGUGCACGUACCGGAUAUGCUUCCGCUGGUACCCGGGCGUGACAGACAGUGGCAUCAUUAGAUUUUAUAUUCCCUAAAACUGUGUUUGCCCCGCUUGCUGCAUUAAUGGCUCUUUAAUGGCUUGCAUUUAAUGCUCUUUCAUAAAACGGCGCUGUUGCGUAUAGCGCAUGGGCCUCAAUAAUAACCGGAUUGUAAGAGAAUUUCGCCUCGGGAAGGUAAGCAACUUUCGAUGUUUGGGAAUGAAAAUGAAAUAGUGUAACAGCUGUAAACAAAUCACCAAUUUCUACAAUGAAUUGCACUAUUAUGUCUAUUACAUUGCACCAUUACAAUCCAACAUGGAUUCUCUUACCGCACUUAAACAUUCAAUUGCACUAUUAUGCACAUUACAUUUGUAACGCACUGGACCUUUGCAAACUGCGAGGUUCGAGUGUAUGGCUGGUGUUAUGAGUUUUUCCAGAUUUUCUGGUGGGUCGUAGACAGUGUUCAGACCUAUGGCUCGUAUCCCGAGNAUGGUAUUAUGAUUUGUGUGGAAGUUUCGACUCUAUGAAAUAUUUAUUCUAUAUGGUGCUUUGUUAAUUUCUUAACUUGGUAAUAGUACUAUUUGAUAUUAAACAUGAAAAAUAUAUAUUUGAUAUUAUGCUGUUAAUGUGCUUUUAUGUGAUGUUUGGUUAAUGAUUUUGUUUAUAGACGAGUUUCUAAAUUGAAAUUUAUUUGUUAUUGUAUGAUUUUUGAUUAUGUAUUAUGGUCUUUUUUCUAUUUAUUCUUCUAUGGGUUGAAAUUAAUUUUUUGCAAUGUAAUUUUUUUUCAUGUUUGGUCCUUUUAUUUCAUUACUUAUUAAUAUAAUUAAUUUACAAGUGCAAAAAUUAUAUUUAAUUAUAUAUUAAUGAAAAAAUAAUAUUCAAAUGACCACAUGGGCUAUUUUGGAAAAGACUAUACUUUUCUGUUAGGAUUAUUACUAAAUUUUAUAGACUGAACAAAAAGUAGUAAUGCUAUAAACGCCGCAAUCCAGCAUUACAUUACUGCAUUAAACCAAACGCGCUAAUGUAGUAUCAGUAGUAAUCUCAUUUAGAAAUCCAAGAUAGGUGGAUAUGUCGAAAUACCAUGUAAUAUUACAUAACUCGAACCAAACGUGCCCUAAAGGCGGUGAAUCGUUUACCGCCUAAACGAUUCACUGCCUUUCUAAUUUUUCACAAAAGCGGUGAAUCAUUCACCGCCUUCUUGAAGAUUGUUUGUUAGGAUUUUUUAGAUUGCUAAGAUUGUAUGUGAUUCGUUGAAGUUUUAUAUAGUUGUUAGGAUUAUAUAUGGGAAAUAAAAAAAAGUGAGGUUGUUAGAAUUGUAUGUGUAUUGUUUGAUCGUUAUGAUUGUAUGGCUAGAUUAUUAGGAUUUUUUUGGUUAAGAUUGUAUGUGAUUUGUUGAAAUUUUUAUGUGUUUGUUAGGAUUAUAUGGGAAAAUAGAAAGAAACAAUAAAAGAGAAAGACGGUGAAUGAUUCACCGCUUUUGUGGGAAAUUAUAAAGGCGGUGAAUCGAUUCACCGCCUUUAAGAAAAAAAUUUCACUGUGGUUCCUACAUGGCAAAAGGAGGGUUAGUUUGCCAAUUAUUUUUUUAUAGUGUUAUUUAUCUAAUUUGAUAAUUUUGUAGGGUAUUUUGAAAAAAGUCAGUUUUUCUUUGUAUUGGUUAUUUUUGUUUAUCUUUUGUAAGUUUACUUACCUUAGUGCACUUGAAUCAAGGUUAAGAGUAUCGUUUCAUAGAAAAAUUGUUGGGGUUUUUGGGCGACUUACCUAGAGUUUAUUAAUUGUAAAAAUAGGCAUUCAAAAUUUUUUUUUGUAAAAAUUAGGCUUAAACAAUGAAUCAUUCACCGCUUUUAUCAAAUUUAUAUAUAUUUUCUACAUCCGAACAACGAAGGAUGUUCGGAUGUACAACAUUAAACGCUAAAGAUAAUUUUAACUCUUUGCGAGAGCGGUAAAUAGUUUACCACAUUUGAAAGCGGCGAUUAUUCAUUGCAUGAGACUAGUUUUGUAAAUAAAUUUAUAAAGAACUAUUUUUAUAAUUAUAAUAUUUUUUAAGCCUAUAAAUAAAAAAAAUUCAAAAAUGUCAUUUGUUAUAUAUAUAUAUACACACACACACACAUAGUUUACCACAUUUGAAAGCGGCGAAUUAUUCAUCGCACGAGACUAGUUUUGUAAAUAAAUUUAUGAAGAACUAUUUUUAUAAUUAUAAUAUUUUUUAAGCCUAUAAAUAAAAAAAUUCAAAAAUGUCAUUUGUUUUAUAUAUAUAGAGAAUUAGGCUACUAUACUAUCUAAUAUCUAUAGUACCGGAGCUCCGGUACUAUAGUCUUGUUUUUGAUCUUAGGGUGUUCAAAUUAAUGAUCCACAUCGUUAAAUAUGAUCUAGGAUAUAUGAAGUUCUUAGGAAUAAAAUUUUAGUUUUUUUUGACAUCGUUUACUUAGUAAAUAAAUUAUGUCAAAAUGGACGAUGGAAAUUGAAUAAUCUUUAAAAUUUGAGCAUAGGACUUUUAAAUUCAAGAUCAAGAAUGUUAAUCUUAAUCUAGAUAGUUUAAAGUAUUUUCUAUCAAAAUUUGAAGAAAUUUAGAUUCUUCUACACCGUUAAACUCCAAACUCGCCUAGCCAUUGAAAAUUGACAAUUUUGAAAUGGUUUGAUCAUAAAGUAAACUAUGUCGAAAAAAUAUAAAAUUUUAUUUCUAAAAACUUUAAAUACCCUAGAUCAGUUUUAACGGUGUGGAUCAUUGAUUUGAGCACCCUAAGAUUGAAAACAAGACUAUAGUACCGGAGCCCCGGUACUAUAGAUAGUAUAGGAGACUAGCUCUCUCUCUCUCUCUCUCUCUCUCUCUCUCUCUCUCUCUAUAUAUAUAUAUAUAUAUAUAU
rnacentral:lncRNA from 1 species